UAAUCGAUUAUACAAAUGACCGUUGCCAAAGUAUUUUUAAACUCUGAAAGAUAAUCGAUUAUGCUAAGUAAAAUCUGAAUAUGAUUUUUGAACGUUGUCAGGUAAUCAAUUAUACGAUUUGGAUAAUCGAUUAUUUUGCUUAAAAUCUGGAAAUGAUUUUUGAACGAUUUGAAAAUAAUCGAUUAUGCAAAUCAGAUAAU
rnacentral:lncRNA from 1 species